CGGCAGCGCCGCGGCCGGGAGGGACCGAGCGGGGAGCAAGGCCUGCGGGGAGGCGCAGGAUGGACGCGUUGGCUGUCAUGAUGUAGGACCUCCUGACCUAGAACCAUGCCCGGCGCAGGGAGAACAACGAGCUUACGGACCGGGUGCGGGGGCUGCUGUGCGAGAAAGCCUACCUGCUGGCCCGGGAGCGUUCGCCGGCCCACCUGGUGGCUUUCCCUGGACGUUUAACGGCGACUCCGCCCGGCCUCCCGACUUUUUGAUGCAGGCGUUCUCUUACAUGACUUUCUUCGAGGCUAGAUUCUCGAAAGACAUCCUGAAGGUGGCUUUCUUAAUUAGCUGCCUCACCGGCUGGCGGAGCAGUUCGUAGUCGCCUACAUCGAGAGGGAGAGCCCCGUCCUGGCUCAGUACUGGGGCUUCGUGGACGCGCUGUAGCGGGUCUUCGCCGUCGUGGGUAGGAAACAGUCGGGCCGGAUCCCCGGUGUCUGGGGAGCGGCUGCCGGCCGGGCCCGCGCGAGCCGCUUCACUCCUACAAGCCCGGCUCACUAGUUCCAAGCUGCUGGACUUUGACCCUCGCUGGGAAGCUUGAUCGCCGCCUGUUCUCGCCAAUCUCUAUGCCUUUGCACUGCCCAGCAACCCGGUCACUGCCCAGGACCUGUUAAAAGUUGAAUGGACCUCCCAGAAUCACGCCGCUGCCACCGCCGUUUCUAGAGACGGCUUUUGGCCACCUUUGAGAAUCAGGGUCAAACUUGGAAGGGCCUGCAUUUGUCACACUUCCUCGGACACUAAUUUGGAUAGUUCAGGCCCAGAGACGGCUUCCCGGGUUAGUGUGCCUGACAACACUGAAGAAAAAUUGUGACAUUUUCCUUCCCCAGAAUUACUUCGUUUUAUACAUUUCACUUCUCUUCUGAAAUCACAGCAAUGCCAGUUUGCGCCUUUUGGUCUGAGGAACGCAGGCCCUGGCCACUACCAGGAAAAAAACCUUCUGGAUUUCAGCUUUGGCAAGCUUCCUCUGUUUCUGAGACACCUCCAUCACCUGGAUCCUUUGCACAUGGCCUGCUAUCAACAAUCCUCUACAAUGAUUCUCAGCAUCACCUAGGGAGCUUAUGUAAAAUCUCAAAUUCCUGGGCCCUAUCCCCAGAGUUUCUUAUCAAGUAAGUCUGCAUUGGGAUCUGAGGAUUUGCAUCUCUAACAAAAAUUCCUAGGCGAUGCUCACACUGUUGGUGUAAGGUUUCCUUGAUGGAGAACUAUCAAAGCAGUCAAAGCUAUCAAAAUAAAAAAGAAUUCUGAUUGGGUGCAGUGGCUCACACCUGUCAUUCCAGCACUUUGAGAGGCCAAGGUGGGCAGAUCACAUGAGGCCAGGAGUUCAAGACCAGCCUGGCCAACAUGGCAGAAACCCCAUCUCUACUAAAAAUACCAAAA
ensembl:lncRNA LINC00667 long intergenic non-protein coding RNA 667